AACGAACGCUGGCGGCAUGCCUAACACAUGCAAGUCGAACGAGACCUUCGGGUCUAGUGGCGCACGGGUGCGUAACGCGUGGGAAUCUGCCCUUCGGUUGGGAAUAACUGAGAGAAAUUUAAGCUAAUACCUUAUAAUGUCUUCGGACCAAAGAUUUAUCGCCGAGGGAUGAGCCCGCGUAGGAUUAGGUAGUUGGUAGGGUAAUGGCCUACCAAGCCGACGAUCCUUAGCUGGUCUGAGAGGAUGGUCAGCCACACUGGGACUGAGACACGGCCCAGACUCCUACGCGAGGCAGCAGUGGGGAAUAUUGGACAAUGGGCGAAAGCCUGAUCCAGCAAUGCCGCGUGAGUGAUGAAGGCCUUAGGGUUGUAAAGCUCUUUUACCCGGGAUGAUAAUGACAGUACCGGGAGAAUAAGCUCCGGCUAACUCCGUG
rnacentral:rRNA from 1 species